rnacentral:rRNA from 1 species
UACGUAGGGGGCGAGCGUUGUCCGGAAUCACUGGGCGUAAAGGGAGCGUAGGCGGCUCUGUAAGUCAGAUGUUAAAGGCAUUGGCUCAACCAAUGUAAGCAUUUGAAACUGCAGGCUUGAGUACAGGAGAGGAGAGUGGAAUUCCUAGUGUAGCGGUGAAAUGCGUAGAUAUUAGGAGGAACACCAGUGGCGAAGGCGACUCUCUGGACUGUUACUGACGCUGAGGCUCGAAAGCGUGGGGAGGAAACAGGAUUAGAUACCCUGGUAGUCCACGCCGUAAACGAUGAGUGCUAGGUGUUGGGGCCGACAGGUUUCAGUGCCGCAGUUAACACAUUAAGCACUCCGCCUGGGGAGUACGAUCGCAAGAUUGAA